rnacentral:rRNA from 1 species
GACGAACGCUGGCGGCGUGCCUAAUACAUGCAAGUCGAGCGAAGUUUUUCUGGUGCUUGCACUAGAAAAACUUAGCGGCGAACGGGUGAGUAACACGUAAAGAACCUGCCUCAUAGACUGGGACAACUAUUGGAAACGAUAGCUAAUACCGGAUAACAGCAUUAACUACAUGGUUGAUGUUUAAAAGUUGGUUUUGCUAACACUAUGAGAUGGCUUUGCGGUGCAUUAGCUAGUUGGUGGGGUAAAGGCCUACCAAGGCGACGAUGCAUAGCCGACCUGAGAGGGUGAUCGGCCACCCUGGGACUGAGACACGGCCCAGACUCCUACGGGAGGCAGCAGUAGGGAAUCUUCCGCAAUGGGCGAAAGCCUGACGGAGCAACGCCGCGUGAGUGAAGAAGGAUUUCGGUUCGUAAAGCUCUGUUGUUAGGGAAGAAUGAUUGUGUAGUAACUAUACACAGUAGAGACGGUACCUAACCAGAAAGCCACGGCUAACUACGUG